rnacentral:rRNA from 1 species
AUUGAACGCUGGCGGCAGGCCUAACACAUGCAAGUCGAGCGGAGCGGCGGACGGGUGAGUAAUACCUAGGAAUCUGCCUGAUAGUGGGGGCUAACGUUCGGAAACGGACGCUAAUACCGCAUACUAUCAGCUGAGCCUAGGUCGGAUUAGCUAGUUGGUGAGGUAAUUGCUCACCAAGGCUACGAGCCGUAACUGGUCUGAGAGGAUGAUCAGUCACACUGGAACGGAGACACGGUCAAGACUCCGACGGGAGGCAGCAGUGGGGAAUAGGGGACAAUGGGCGAAAGCCGGAGCAAGCCAUGCCGCGUGUGUGAAGAAGGUCUUCGGAUGGUAAAGCAAUUUAAGUUGGGAGGCGUUACCGACAGAAUAAGCACCGGCUAAAUCUGGGCCAGCAGCGGCGGUAAUAC